rnacentral:rRNA from 1 species
CUACGGAGGAUCCGAGCGUUAUCCGGAUUUAUUGGGUUUAAAGGGUGCGCAGGCGGGAGAUUAAGUCGGCGGUGAAAUUUUGCAGCUCAACUGUAAAAGUGCCUUCGAAACUGGUUUUCUUGAGUGUAGAUGAAGUAGGCGGAAUUUGUGGUGUAGCGGUGAAAUGCAUAGAUAUCACGAGGAACUCCGAUUGCGCAGGCAGCUUACUAAACUACUACUGACGCUCAGGCACGAAGGCGUGGGGAUCAAACAGGAUUAGAUACCCUGGUAGUCCACGCAGUAAACGAUGAUUACUAGCUGUUUGCGAUACAAUGUAAGCGGCUGAGCGAAAGCGUUAAGUAAUCCACCUGGGGAGUACGUUCGCAAGAAUGAAACUCAAAUGAAUUGGCGGGG